GCCCUUUUCCCUGUUUCCCUCAGGUGUUUCCCGCCCUCGUAACGGUUUUUCCUCAGCCGCUUCCCGCCGUCCCGCUCCCGGCGGCUCCGGGCCAUGGCGGCUCCCUGCCGGGACUGGUUCCACUGCAACCGCUGCUACCGGCAGGACGGCGCCCGCUUCUCUGUCACCAGCUGCGGGCACGUGCUGUGCGAGCCCUGCCUGGGCGCAGGACCGUGCCCCAUCUGUGCUGCCGCGUGUCGCCGCUUCCCCAUCCCCGAGCAGCUGGAGGAGACACUCUUCUUAAAGAGCCCCGCCGCCAUUGCCCGGCAGCGCCUGGCACACAUCUCUCAGGCCUGGCGCUUCCAGCAGGCACAGGUGGACCUGCUGCUCGCCUUCCACCGUGACACCGCGCGCCGGGCUGAGGCCGCACUGCGGGACGCCCGCCGGGCGUUGGACUCCAAGCAGAGGGAAGCGGAGGAGCUUCGAAGGGAGAACGGGGAGCUGCGGAGGCACCUGCGGGAGGCUGAGGUCUCCCCUACCUGGCGGUCGAGCAGUCACCCCACAGCCUCGGCGGCAGCUCAGUGGGCAGGUGGUGAGGUGAGCAGGGCCCCCCAGGUCGCCCUAUUGCAGAAACUGGAGGAACACCCUCAGAUUUGUGUCUUUUCCCCCCAAAUGUUCUCCCCUCCAUCAUGCAGCCGCUUGGCCUCCCUGGAGCACCGCUCGGCCAGCAGCACCCCGACGUGGCUGGGGCCACCCUGCUGGCUUCCCAUACUCCGUUGUGGGCUCCUUUCACCACCCCGCCGCUGCCGGUCACGGUCCUGCCCGCUGAGCGCCAGCACUUCUUCUCUGCCGGCCUGCAGCCCCCCCGUGGCUGAGCCCCCCACGGCACGGCCUGGACCAGGACUGCAUCCCACGCUGCUGUGUGUGGAACCCUUCCAUCGUCCAGCAGUGCGGGAUCAUCGCUGCCACUUUGGAGGUGGAGCAGCUGUCUUGGAAGCAGCUGCCUUUCCCAGAUCCUCCGCCUCCCUGCCAAGACUCCACCAGUUCCUGUUGUUUUCCUACUCUUUGUGAUUCUGUGGGAUGUUCUGGGGCUCCCCCCUGGUGCAUCGCCCCCCUCCAGGCCUGGCUGCCACCUCCUGCUGAGCGCCGCCGUGCAGGCCAAGGGCUCUGCUGUGUGGGCAGUGAGGGAGCCCUGGUGCUGCUGAGCUGUUGUGGGCUUGGGCUCCACCUGCAGCUCCCUGCACUGAGGCAGCUGGGGGCUCACAGUGGAGGCUGCCUGAGGUCUGCUCUGCUGUGCCGUCUGCCAGGAGACAUCCCAUCCAACAGCGUGUCCAUGGAACAUCCCAUCCAACAGCGUGUCCAUGGAACAUCCCAUCCAACAGCGUGGCCAGGAACAUCCCAUCCAACAGCGUGGCCAACUGCAGGAGCUCUGUGGAUUACAGCAGGUCCAGCCUGAGGCUCUGCAGGGACGGAGGGUGAGGAGCUGCUCCAGGGGUUGUUGGUGGCCAUGGAGGGGCACUGCAGUCAGAAUGGGGUGUUUGGCACAACGAGUCUCUCCUUAGGACGGUUUUGGGGUGAAGGGUCUUUUUCCUUAAGACUGAGGCCCACGCGGUUGCUGGGUGAGGUUAAGGUGGAGACAACCAGUUGUGGGUUGAGCUGUGGGGGCUGCCACAGUUGGGGGGGUGAUAAGAGCUGGAGGCCACACACCUGCGGGCUGUCAGCUGUGGGUCCUUAACGAGUUCUUCCCUCCUGCCCAGUGUAUAAAGUUUCCUGCUCUGUUACA